GAUGAACGCUGGCGGCGUGCCUAAUACAUGCAAGUCGAGCGAACAGACGAGGAGCUUGCUCCUCUGACGUUAGCGGCGGACGGGUGAGUAACACGUGGAUAACCUACCUAUAAGACUGGGAUAACUUCGGGAAACCGGAGCUAAUACCGGAUAAUAUAUUGAACCGCAUGGUUCAUUAGUGAAAGACGGUUUUGCUGUGACUUAUAGAUGGAUCCGCGCCGCAUUAGCUAGUUGGUAAGGUAACGGCUUACCAAGGCAACGAUGCGUAGCCGACCUGAGAGGGUGAUCGGCCACACUGGAACUGAGACACGGUCCAGACUCCUACGGGAGGCAGCAGUAGGGAAUCUUCCGCAAUGGGCGAAAGCCUGACGGAGCAACGCCGCGUGAGUGAUGAAGGUCUUCGGAUCGUAAAGCUCUGUUAUUAGGGAAGAACAAAUGUGUAAGUAACUAUGCACGUCUUGACGGUACCUAAUCAGAAAGCCACGGCUAACUACGUG
rnacentral:rRNA from 1 species